UUUCCGUAGGUGAACCUGCGGAAGGAUCAUUACUGUAUAAUCGUGGUGCAAGGGCUGUCGCUGAUCCGAUUGGUCGUGCCCUCCCGAGUGCUCUACCACUCAUCCAUCACACUCCUUUGUUUGCCACCGCGUGGGUCGUCCUUUGGCUUGUUUGGUGGGGGGCUUACGCCUUCACACCAUCUCUGUAUGCUGUGUAGUAUGUAUUUUUUGUUUUUUCGAUUACGUAAUCAAUUCAACUUUCAUUAACGGAUCUCUUGGCUUUCGCAUCGCUGCAGAAAA
rnacentral:misc_RNA from 1 species